GACGAACGCUGGCGGCGUGCUUAACACAUGCAAGUCGAACGACGAAGAAAAGACUUGAAGCUUCGGCAGAAAUUCAUUUCGGAUUAGUGGCAGACGGGUGAGUAACGCGUGAGCAACCUACCUCUUACAAAGGGAUAGCCUCGGGAAACCGGGAUUAAUACCAUAUAACAUUGCGACGAAGCAUUUCGAUGCAAUCAAAGCUACGGCGGUAAGAGAUGGGCUCGCGUCCCAUUAACCAGAUGGUGAGGUAACGGCUCACCAUAGUAACGAUGGGUAACCGGCCUGAGAGGGUGAACGGUCACACUGGAACUGAGACACGGUCCAGACUCCUACGGGAGGCAGCAGUGGGGAAUAUUGCACAAUGGAGGGAACUCUGAUGCAGCGACGCCGCGUGAGUGAUGAAGGAAUUCGUUUCGUAAAACUCUGUUCUAUGGGAAGAAAAGGACUGUACCAUAGGAGAAAGCUCCGGCUAAAUACGUG
rnacentral:rRNA from 1 species